GUCAGCGUGGCUCAGUGGAAAGAGCACGGGCUUUGGACUCAGAGGCCAUGGGUUCGAGUCCCGGCUCUGCCA
rnacentral:tRNA from 1 species